rnacentral:rRNA from 1 species
CCUACGGGAGGCAGCAGUGGGGAAUUUUGCGCAAUGCUCGUAAGAGUGACGCAGCGACGCCGCGUGAAUGACGAAGGCCUUCGGGUCGUAAAGUCCUUUCGACAGGGAAGAAAAUGCCAAUAAGUAACUGUGUAUGUAUUGACGGUACCUGUAUAAGCAGCCCCGGCUAACUCCGUGCCAGCAGCCGCGGUAAUACGGAGGGGGCUAGCUGUGGUCGGAUUGACUGGGCGUAAAGAGCACGUAGGCGGUGGUGUAAGUCAUUAGUCAAAGACUAGAGCUCAAAUUUAGGAAGGCUAGUGAUACUAUCAGACUAGAGUAUCAGAGAGGAUUGCAGAAUUGCUGGGGGAGCGGUGAAAUGCGUAGAUAUCAGGAGGAAUACCGUUAGCGAAGGCGGCAAUCUGGCUGGAAACUGACGCUGAGGUGCGAAAGCGUGGGUAGCAAACAGGAUUAGAUACCCCGGUAGUC